rnacentral:rRNA from 1 species
GGAGCUGGUAUCAGGCACAACUUUUCCGCCCAUAACACCUAGCCUCGCCACACCCACAAGGGAAUUCAGCAGUGAUAAACAUUGAGCAUAAGCGAUAGCUUGACUCAGUUAAAUUAAACAGAGCCGGCCAAUCUGGUGCCAGCCGCCGCGGUUACACCACUGUGGCUCAAAUUGACUUCUUUCGGCGUAAAGCGUGCUUAAAGCCUAAAAUUUCUUGGAAUUAAACUGAAACUAAGCUGUGACACGCUUGUUACUCAAGAAAACCAAAAACGAAAGUUAUUCCAAUUUUUUCAACUUGAAUUCACGACAACUAGGAAACAAACUGGGAUUAGAUACCCCACUAUGCCUAGUCGUAAACUUUAAUCUACUCCCACAUCGCCCGGGAACUACGAGCUAAGCUUAAAACCCAAAGGACUUGACGGUACCCCAUAUCCCCCUAGAGGAGCCUGUCCUAUAAUCGAUAACCCCCGUUUAACCUCACCAUUUUUUGCCAGUCAGCCUGUAUACCUCCGUCGUCAGCUUACCACGUGAGCGUCAGUGAGCCUAAUGUUUCUCCAACUACACGUCAGGUCAAGGUGCAACAUAUAAAAUGGGAAGAGAUGGGCUACACUUUCUACCAUAGAAUAAACGAAAGACUAAAUGAAACCUAGUCAGAAGGCGGAUUUAGCAGUAAAGUGAAACUAGAGCGUUCACUUAAAUGCGGCACUGGGGUGUGUACACACCGCCC